rnacentral:rRNA from 1 species
UACGUAGGGUGCGAGCGUUGUCCGGAAUUAUUGGGCGUAAAGAGCUCGUAGGCGGUGUGUCGCGUCGGCCGUGAAAACCUGGGGCUCAACUCUGGGCGUGCGGUCGAUACGGGCAUCACUUGAGUUCGGCAGGGGAGACUGGAAUUCCUGGUGUAGCGGUGAAAUGCGCAGAUAUCAGGAGGAACACCGGUGGCGAAAGCGGGUCUCUGGGCCGAUACUGACGCUGAGGAGCGAAAGCAUGGGUAGCGAACAGG